UACAGAGGGUGCGAGCGUUAAUCGGAAUUACUGGGCGUAAAGCGUGCGUAGACGGUUCUGUAAGUCGGAUGUGAAAUCCCCGGGCUCAACCUGGGAACUGCAUUUGUGACUGUAGAGCUGGAGUACGGCAGAGGGGGAUGGAAUUCCGCGUGUAGCAGUGAAAUGCGUAGAUAUGCGGAGGAACACCGAUGGCGAAGGCAAUCCCCUGGGCCUGUACUGACGCUCAUGCACGAAAGCGUGGGGAGCAAACAGG
rnacentral:rRNA from 1 species